AUGUUAGCGGCGGACGGGUGAGUAACACGUGGGUAACCUGCCUGUAAGACUGGGAUAACUCCGGGAAACCGGAGCUAAUACCGGAUAGUUCCUUGAACCGCAUGGUUCAAGGAUGAAAGACGGUUUCGGCUGUCACUUACAGAUGGACCCGCGGCGCAUUAGCUAGUUGGUGAGGUAACGGCUCACCAAGGCGACGAUGCGUAGCCGACCUGAGAGGGUGAUCGGCCACACUGGGACUGAGACACGGCCCAGACUCCUACGGGAGGCAGCAGUAGGGAAUCUUCCGCAAUGGACGAAAGUCUGACGGAGCAACGCCGCGUGAGUGAUGAAGGUUUUCGGAUCGUAAAGCUCUGUUGUUAGGGAAGAACAAGUGCAAGAGUAACUGCUUGCACCUUGACGGUACCUAACCAGAAAGCCACGGCUAACUACGUGCCAGCAGCCGCGGUAAUACGUAGGUGGCAAGCGUUGUCCGGAAUUAUUGGGCGUAAAGGGCUCGCAGGCGGUUUCUUAAGUCUGAUGUGAAAGCCCCCGGCUCAACCGGGGAGGGUCAUUGGAAACUGGGAAACUUGAGUGCAGAAGAGGAGAGUGGAAUUCCACGUGUAGCGGUGAAAUGCGUAGAGAUGUGGAGGAACACCAGUGGCGAAGGCGACUCUCUGGUCUGUAACUGACGCUGAGGAGCGAAAGCGUGGGGAGCGAACAGGAUUAGAUACCCUGGUAGUCCACGCCGUAAACGAUGAGUGCU
rnacentral:rRNA from 1 species